rnacentral:lncRNA from 1 species
GAUAUUGUAACUUCCAUGAUAUCAUGAUUAUCAUCAACUUCUAGUCUAAUCAAGUCGUUGUCAUUUAUAUCUUGCAAGACUUGUUCAUUCACUUGAUCUACAUCAUUGGACAACUCAUCACCCAAAUCAUACACAUCUCUAACUUUAGCAUGCACAACAACAAACCAAUCAUUUUGUGUUCUAUUCUCCACAUAGAAUAUUUUUUUGGCUUGAGAGGCCAAAAUAAAUGGG